rnacentral:lncRNA from 1 species
CUCUUCCACUUCCCUUGCCCCGUCCCUGCACAGAUCCAGGCUGUCUCUUGCGGUGCGCAUGCACCUACCGUAUCGUUAUCAACGUCUCCGAGGCAGAUUGCGUGCGGGAAGAGGCUCCCGCUGAACUCCAGCGCCACGCGCUGCACGUAGCUAACUGACCUCAUGGCACCUCCAAGAGCAGAGGGAGCGGAGAGGCCCAGUAAAUAUUCCCUGAACCCCCGUCGCGACAGCCGCCAGAGCGGAAGGCCACCUAAGGCAGCAAGUUACGUCACUGCCUGAACCUCCAAUCUCUGCCUCUUCCUCCUUUAACCUUACAGAGGAGGCGGGUCUUCCGGGCUUGGAGGCGGGCUUCCCAACUCUGAUGAUGCAGAGCUGGAAGAAACCUCAGGAAUGCUUUCGAUUUUGCAGAUGAGGACAGAAGCCCAGGACUUGCCAAAGGAACCUCAUGGGAGAGUCUGGAUUAGUUCAGAGACCUCACCUUUCCAUUUAACUUCUGAGUCUUGGUUUUCUUAUCUGUAAAUAGGGUUAUUAAAGUUAUACCUUCUUUGUAAAAAAAAA